rnacentral:tRNA from 1 species
GGGCUAAAUAACAUAAAGGUAAUGUAUAAGAUUGCAAAUCUUAGUUAUAUUGGUUCAAGUCCGAUUUUAGCCUU